AGGAGGAAAACAGCAGAACCUGUUUUGGGAACAGCAGGGAGUCUGGGUGGAGCAGAGAGUCUUGGUGAGUGAGUAGAGAUUCAGGGCUGGAAAAGCAGGUCCGGAGUGGAGCCCAGGCUGAGGAAUGCCAAAUACAGUACAAGCCAUGGCACUUCAAGAAGCCCUGGGAUGGGAUGGUGCUCUGGAGGAGACACACACAAGGGGACAAGCUCUCCGCUGUGCACAGGGCUGAGCCACUUUGGCUAUGGUGAGAACUGGAGCAGAUUCAGGACUGCCUCACCAGAGCUCUGCUUCCCAGAAGGAUGGCGAGUCUUCGGAACAAGAAUGCAAAAAGAGUGAACCACCGCCUGAUUUU